GACGAACGCUGGCGGCGUGCUUAACACAUGCAAGUCGAACGAUGAAGCCGGAGCUUGCUCUGGUGAAUUAGUGGCGAACGGGUGAGUAACACGUGAGUAACCUGCCCUUGACUCUGGGAUAACUGCUAGAAAUGGUAGCUAAUACCGGAUACGACCCUCGGAGGCAUCUCCAGGGGGUGGAAAGAAUUUCGGUCAAGGAUGGACUCGCGGCCUAUCAGCUAGUUGGUGAGGUAACGGCUCACCAAGGCGACGACGGGUAGCCGGCCUGAGAGGAUGGCCAGCCACAUUGGGACUGAGAAACGGCCCAGACUCCUACGGGAGGCAGCAGUGGGGAAUCUUGCGCAAUGGGCGAAAGCCUGACGCAGCGACGCCGCGUGGGGGAUGACGGGUUUCGGCUUGUAAACCCCUGUUGCCCGGGACGAACUUCUCCAUUCGUGGAGAUUGACGGUACCGGGUGAGGAAGCACCGGCUAACUCUGUGCCAGCCGCCGCAGUAA
rnacentral:rRNA from 1 species